rnacentral:misc_RNA from 1 species
CAUUAUAAAAAAGUUGUGCGUUUAUUACUGCGGUGCUGGGGCCGGAUACCCGCGAUGGUUCUCUUCGGACGUGUCCACGUUUACACGUCGAAUCUCAUCCAACAGUUUGUAGCGGGUUGGUGUCGGCAUCCUCAUAGUCAAACAUGAAGUCCACUGCAUCCUACAAGGUGCCCUCGUGGCUGGGGCGUAUGUCCAUUGAGAAGCAGGAAACGUUACUCAAGCUGUGUAUCCUGACUUUCUGCAUGGUCUUGUCCUUCUCGACCCGUCUCUUCUCCGUGUUACGCUUUGAGAGUGUUAUCCACGAGUUUGAUCCAUACUUCAACUACCGGACCACCAGGUACUUGGCUGAGGAGGGCUUCUAUCGCUUUCAUAACUGGUUUGAUGACCGGGCCUGGUACCCUCUCGGCCGUAUCAUUGGAGGGACCAUCUACCCAGGUCUGAUGAUAACCUCUGCCAUCAUCUACCAUGUCAUGAACUUCCUCCAUCUCUCCAUCGAUGUCCGGAAUGUUUGUGUCUUCUUGGCUCCUCUCUUCUCCUCACUGACUACCCUGGUCACCUAUCACUUAGCCAAGCAGCUCAAGGAUACUGGAGCCGGCCUGGUGGCAGCUGCCAUGAUCUCUAUUGUGCCGGGCUACAUCUCUCGAUCGGUCGCUGGUUCCUAUGACAACGAGGGUAUUGCCAUCUUCUGCAUGCUGCUGACCUACACUCUGUGGAUCAAAUCGGUCAAGACUGGCUCCAUGUUCUGGGCUGCCCUAUGCGCCCUGGCUUACUUCUACAUGGUAUCGUCAUGGGGAGGCUACGUGUUCUUGAUCAACCUGAUCCCAAUGCACGUCUUGGCCUUGAUGUUGACGGGUCGGUUCAGCCAUCGGAUCUAUGUGGUCUACAACACUGUCUACUGCCUGGGUACGAUCCUGUCCAUGCAGAUAUCUUUUGUUGGCUUCCAACCUGUCCAGUCCAGUGAACACAUGGCGGCCUUAGGUGUGUUUGGCCUGUGCCAGAUCUACACCUUUGUGGAGUAUGUACGUUCUCGCCUCAGCCAGCACUACUUUGAUGUCUUGUUCCGUAGUGUGGUACUCCUUGUGGGCGUGACUGUAGGGGCAGUGGGAGCUGUCCUCUUGGCAACUGGCAAGAUCUCACCGUGGACGGGUCGUUUCUACUCCCUGCUGGACCCCUCCUAUGCCAAGAACAACAUCCCCAUCAUUGCCUCUGUCUCAGAGCAUCAGCCCACCACCUGGAGCUCCUUCUACUUUGAUCUGCAGAUGCAUGUCUUCAUGUUCCCCGUGGGCAUGUAUUACUGCUUUACGAAGCUGACGGAUGCCAACAUUUUCAUCAUCUUGUAUGGAAUCACCAGCCUCUACUUCUCGGGUGUGAUGGUGCGUUUGAUGCUGGUGCUGGCCCCCGUCAUGUGCAUCUUGUCAGGCAUCGGCGUCUCCUCCGUCCUGACUACCUACGUCCGCAAUCUGGACAUCAACAAACCAGAGAAGAAAUCCAAGAAGGCGGAAGCCUCCAACUACCCGAUUAAGAAUGAGGUUGCCUCUGGCGUGGUGCUUCUCGUAACCAUAUUCCUCAUCACCUACACCUUCCAUUGCACCUGGGUCACUUCGGAGGCGUAUUCCUCCCCUUCCAUUGUCCUGUCGGCCCGGGCUGGGGAUGGCAGCAGGAUCAUCUUUGACGAUUUCCGUGAGGCGUACUACUGGCUGCGACACAACACCGAAGAGGAUGCCAAAGUGAUGUCAUGGUGGGAUUACGGCUACCAGAUAACAGCCAUGGCUAACAGGACCAUCUUGGUGGAUAACAACACGUGGAAUAACACUCAUAUAUCCCGGGUGGGACAGGCCAUGGCAUCUACAGAGGACAAAGCGUAUGAGAUUAUGAGGGAGCUUGACGUGAACUACGUGUUGGUCAUAUUCGGCGGGUUAACUGGCUACUCCUCUGAUGAUAUCAACAAGUUCUUGUGGAUGGUGCGGAUCGGCGGCAGCACAGAAACUGGCCGACACAUCAAGGAGACUGAUUAUUACACACCCCAGGGGGAGUUCCGCGUGGAUAGGGAAGGCUCGCCUGUACUGCUCAACUGCCUCAUGUACAAAAUGUGUUACUAUCGAUUUGGCAAGGUCUACACAGAAUCAGGCAAGCCAACCGGUUACGACCGUGUCCGCAAUGCGGAGAUUGGCAACAAAGACUUUGAGUUAGAUAUAUUAGAGGAGGCGUAUACCACGGAGCACUGGCUGGUGCGCAUCUACAAGGUGAAACCGCUGCAGAACCGUGGUGCCUAAGAGUAGUGGAAAUUAUUGCCAUAACCUCAUAGAAUUAAAAAUCUGUUCCUUUUUUUGGCCACAUGGUCCUUGGGUCAUGGGGGGGAAGUUAAGGGGACCAAGAAAUAUUUUGUGCAAAGCAGGUAAUCCAAAAUAAUAUUGCUGAAGAAUGAGACAGUUAGGUUACAUUUAGUCUUAUCACCGCUUGGAUGGAAUACAUGUUUGUGAUUUUUGCCGGUGAAUUUACGCUCACGACUCCAAUAUCGGUAGAUUCAUGUAUACUGUCUUGCGUGUAGAAUUGGUGCGUACUCGAAUGUUGUACUGGGCCCAGUAUGAACAUAAACUGCAGCGGGCCCACACCAUUCACACAUGCACAGUGUAAUCUGUUUGUUUGAAAUUUCACGUGAGCAAACAUGAUGUGAGACAGUAGUGUGUCAAGCUGAUAUACCACUCAACAUUUAGAUGAGUUGGCACGGUUUUAAUACAAACUUCAAACCCAUUAUAAUUCAAAACGCAUUCAGGUCUGUCUUUGUUAAAAGGAGGCAAAUUACAGUAGAAAUAUCGUGGACUUUAUCUCCUUGUUCAAAAUCAUGUUAGUUUUUGAUUUAGGGAGUAGUUUAAUGCAGAAUUGUGUGUUAAACAAAAAAAGGCCCGUCUGUAAAGGGCUUUAUCAGAAAGCUGUAAAUCUUACUAGAAUGACCCGUUUAAAAGUACCAGAUUGUGCCCAGGAGUUUUUGAUCUAUUCAAUCCAGCAGGGGUUUGUACUGUUAUAACAGUGUAAUCUCUUUAUAUUUGCCAUCUCAUUUUUGUACGCAAACACAAAUGCCCAUUUCUUACAUGUCCAACUGUUCUCACAUACAUGUAGGCCUACCCAGUUAAAUUUUUUUUUAAUCUGGGGGUAGUUGGGAAGACAGCAUUUGGUAAGUGGCAGGGGCAGUGUUUACCGUUGGGAUUGUCACAAACUGAUAAGGCCACCCUUGCUUUCUUUGCACAUGUAGUUAAGAAUUGGCUCAGGCAACCUUAUGCAAUUUUCAGGGUUGUGUAGAGUAAAAAGAUGGGUCUGUCAUGGAGCUGGCAGGAGGCCCUAUCUGGUGGCAAACAAGGGUUUGUGUUGACAAAGAUUUAUUCCCAAAGAAGGAGGAAAUCAGAAGGGCUGGUGGCCAGAUAUGAAGGCAAGGGCUAGUGGCCGGAUAUGAAGGGCACACCAGCCAUAUUGUGAACAGUUUAAGACAGUUUCAUUGUAACAGGCGAACAUAGUACAUUGCUUAUCAAUUUUCCACAUUUUGUUUCCAUGAGUUGUGGAUUUCAACUGGUGAAGGUUCACAGUUAGUUUAGUUCACAAGUCAGUUUAGCAUUUCUUUCUUUCCUCUGCAGAAGUACUGAAUUUUUUUUUUAAAAAGAUGUAAUUGUUUAAGGGAAUUGCAAAUUAGGUUACUUAUAAAAACUUACAUCUGGUUUUUCCAAAUUAAAUGUAUCCACUGACAUUUAUGUACAUGCAGAUCUGUAGUUUUAUACAGAAUAUGGGCAAGCUAUAACAUGUACUGUUUUCUACCUUGCCAACAACUUGAUCACAGCUCCCUGGGCAGUUUUGUCAAACUCCUCAUUUCAACCACACCCAUGAUGUACAAUGUAUGCAUCAUGUUUUCCUAAUGGUUCUUGUUGGUGUAUUUCAGCCUUCCAUCACCCAUCUGAGGGGCAGAUGUUCAGGCAGUAGCGUCUUUAUGCCGCGUUUCUGACUACAAGUUUCAAUUGCAGCAUUGGUGUUUUUCAGAUGUGAUUGUCUGGAGUUUCUACACAUGUCAAAUGGUGUAGUGGGAAUCUUUCAGAGCUGUAUUAAAUUACUGGAGCGUUAACCUGUCAUUCCGGCUCCAAACAUGAAAAAAAUUGGACACCACCUUGGUGGCAGACAUUUUGAAGCCGUGUGUGUAGAACAUCAUGACAUAGGAUGGAACAGAUUCUGAAUUAUGUUCUCUAAAGCCACACACACAUAUAAGAUACCAUGCAUUUCAACAUUAGUUUGACAAAUGAAACUGCCUCAGCCAAAUUUAUCUGCAGUGCUCUUGUGUAGCAUUUGCAUUAUUUACAUGAAGCAAAACAAAAUGCUCAUUUGCUGAAUGCAUCAAGUUUAUUUGCAUAUCGCAUUUUUUAUUCAUACAGAAUACAGAUAAAGAUUUGCCAGUAUAGCUGUACAAGAGUUUGAGUUCACUUUUCCAUAGGUUUGUGCCCAAGAUGGAUGAGUCCAAAAGGUUUCACUUUGCAGAGCGAGGUAACGCUCUAGCAAUUAUAUAUAGCUCUAUUGGAAAACUACACUGUGUGGUUCAACUUUGGUAGGAAUCAGGGUGCAGAACUAUUGAGCCACUGGGCAAAAAAUUUUGCUGAGCAGAUAUUUGUGGUGGGUGGAAAUCUGGCUAGUAGCCCAUCAUAAGCAACAUAAAUCAUGACAUUUGGUUGACAAGCUGUUGCAGCUGAGCCAAGCCUAAUGGCUAUGGCUGGGAGUAGCACACGUGUUUAUGAGAACACCUGCAGCUGCUAGCCAGUGGCCCCCCAUAGGCACAAGUGUUGUUUCCAGCGCUAGCCAUAAUUUCUAGACGCAGCCCUUCCUGCGCCAAGUAGUUCAUAAAGCUGACCACAGGCAUCAUGUUGAGAACUUUAAUCCACUCCAACUGUCCUGUAUCCUUCCAAAUCCAUUGAAAGAUUUCCAAAUUUUACGUAGGAUUGAGGAAUCUUACAACUAAGCCGCUGCGUACAUCACAGUACGUAGAGCUUGAUGCCCAAUGUACAUUAAAAAGAAAUUGAAAUCAACAGAACAUUUCACCAUCUAUAAACCAGCCUCAAGUACAGGUUUCCAGUCCAUUGUACCAAAUCGCCAACUAUAAACCAGCCUCAAGUACAGGUUUCCAGACUGUUGUACCAAAUCACCUACUAUAAACCAGCCUCAAGUAUAGGUUUCCAGACUGUUGUACCAAAUCACCUACUGUAAACCAGCCUCAAGUAUAGGUUUCCAGACUGUUGUACCAAAUCACCUACUAUAAACCAGCCUCAAGUAUAGGUUUCCAGACUGUUGUACCAAAUCGCCAACUAUAAACCAGCCUCAAGUAUAGGUUUCCAGUCCGUUAUACCUCUUUUACAUGACUUUUAGUGAAAUGCAGUCCAGAGAUAAAUCUGUGAUGUAAUAUUUUGGCAUUGCUCCACUUGUGUACACUAACCAGUGUAACUUGAUCCAUCAGCAAGACAAUGGGAUAAGAUUGCUGUGAUGUGAAGGGAACUAUCUACUAUUGAAAAGUGGAAUAAAUGAAAAUCAAUGAAA